GACGAACGCUGGCGGCGUGCUUAACACAUGCAAGUCGAACGAUGAAGGGGAGCUUGCUUCCUGGAUUAGUGGCGAACGGGUGAGUAACACGUGAGUAACCUGCCCUUGACUCUGGGAUAAGCGCUGGAAACGGCGUCUAAUACCGGAUACGACCUGCCCCGGCAUCGGGUGCGGGUGGAAAGUUUUUCGGUCAAGGAUGGACUCGCGGCCUAUCAGCUUGUUGGUGAGGUAAUGGCUCACCAAGGCGACGACGGGUAGCCGGCCUGAGAGGGUGACCGGCCACACUGGGACUGAGACACGGCCCAGACUCCUACGGGAGGCAGCAGUGGGGAAUAUUGCACAAUGGGCGAAAGCCUGAUGCAGCAACGCCGCGUGAGGGAUGACGGCCUUCGGGUUGUAAACCUCUUUUAGUAGGGAAGAAGGGCCUUCGGGUUUGACGGUACCUGCAGAAAAAGCACCGGCUAACUACGUGCCAGCAGCCGCGGUAAUACGUAGGGUGCAAGCGUUGUCCGGAAUUAUUGGGCGUAAAGAGCUCGUAGGCGGUUUGUCGCGUCUGCUGUGAAAACCCGAGGCUCAACCUCGGGCCUGCAGUGGGUACGGGCAGACUAGAGUGCGGUAGGGGAGAAUGGAAUUCCUGGUGUAGCGGUGGAAUGCGCAGAUAUCAGGAGGAACACCGAUGGCGAAGGCAGUUCUCUGGGCCGUAACUGACGCUGAGGAGCGAAAGCGUGGGGAGCGAACAGGAUUAGAUACCCUGGUAGUCCACGCCGUAAACGUUGGGCGCUAGAUGUGGGGACCUUUCCACGGUUUCCGUGUCGCAGCUAACGCAUUAAGCGCCCCGCCUGGGGAGUACGGCCGCAAGGCUAAAACUCAAAGGAAUUGACGGGGGCCCGCACAAGCGGCGGAGCAUGCGGAUUAAUUCGAUGCAACGCGAAGAACCUUACCAAGGCUUGACAUAUACGAGAACGGGCCAGAAAUGGUCAACUCUUUGGACACUCGUAAACAGGUGGUGCAUGGUUGUCGUCAGCUCGUGUCGUGAGAUGUUGGGUUAAGUCCCGCAACGAGCGCAACCCUCGUUCUAUGUUGCCAGCACGUUAUGGUGGGAACUCAUAGGAGACUGCCGGGGUCAACUCGGAGGAAGGUGGGGAUGACGUCAAAUCAUCAUGCCCCUUAUGUCUUGGGCUUCACGCAUGCUACAAUGGCCGGUACAAAGGGCUGCGAUACCGUAAGGUGGAGCGAAUCCCAAAAAGCCGGUCUCAGUUCGGAUUGAGGUCUGCAACUCGACCUCAUGAAGUCGGAGUCGCUAGUAAUCGCAGAUCAGCAACGCUGCGGUGAAUACGUUCCCGGGCCU
rnacentral:rRNA from 1 species